UAAWUGCGAAUGAACAAGGAUAUGCUUAGCUUGACAAAUGGAGCUAUUGGCUUUGAAWUGUAUUGUGGAAAUGUAUUACCAACAGAGGUGCAGGUGCCAGCCUAUUGAAAUAAAGCKUCAAUGAGGGUGAGAAUCCUGUUUGUCAUGUGCAGCCCUUWGUGCACGGUGUAUAUUUGCUGAGUCACACUCCUUGGCAUUGGMAUGCAAAGUGGGUGGUAAGUUUCAUGUAMAGGUAAACAUGCAAUWGAGACUGAUAGCACACAAGUACCAUGAGGGAAAUAUGAAAAGGACUUUGAAAAGAGAAUUAAAUGAGUUUGUAUUUGCUGAACACAAAGUAAACAGACUUGAUUUGCUUGGUGGGAGUGUUGCACUUGCUUGACAAGAGCUUUGGGCUGUGGGUGUAAUGAUUCUUUCUUUGCAUGCCAGUUUCUAUUUGUACAUCUGAUUACCUUUGCACAUGAAUGAUAAGUCUCCUGUGGGGGGUGGAUUGCAUGUGCAUGUAAUGAUUUGUGUUUUGAUAAAUGUGUCUGGUGUAUGUGUGUGUUCCUGUGCUUGGGGAUGCUUCCUUCCUUGGACUUACAAGCCCUGACACACACAUGCUGGCAAAAUGAUUAUGCUUGACCCGUCUUGAAACACGGACCAAGG
rnacentral:rRNA from 1 species